GUGACUGCGUACCUUUUGUAUAAUGGGUCAGCGACUUAUAUUCUGUAGCAAGGUUAACCGUAUAGGGGAGCCGAAGGGAAACCGAGUCUUAACUGGGCGUUAAGUUGCAGGGUAUAGACCCGAAACCCGGUGAUCUAGCCAUGGGCAGGUUGAAGGUUGGGUAACACUAACUGGAGGACCGAACCGACUAAUGUUGAAAAAUUAGCGGAUGACCUGUGGCUGGGGGUGAAAGGCCAAUCAAACCGGGAGAUAGCUGGUUCUCCCCGAAAGCUAUUUAGGUAGCGCCUCGUGAACUCAUCUUCGGGGGUAGAGCACUGUUUCGGCUAGGGGGCCAUCCCGGCUUACCAACCCGAUGCAAACUACGAAUACCGAAGAAUGUUAUCACGGGAGACACACGGCGGGUGCUAACGUCCGUCGUGAAGAGGGAAACAACCCAGACCGCCAGCUAAGGUCCCAAAGUCAUGGUUAAGUGGGAAACGAUGUGGGAAGGCACAGACAGCCAGGAUGUUGGCUUAGAAGCAGCCAUCAUUUAAAGAAAGCGUAAUAGCUCACUGGUCGAGUCGGCCUGCGCGGAAGAUGUAACGGGGCUAAACCAUGCACCGAAGCUGCGGCAGCGACACUAUGUGUUGUUGGGUAGGGGAGCGUUCUGUAAGCCGUUGAAGGUGUGCUGUGAGGCAUGCUGGAGGUAUCAGAAGUGCGAAUGCUGACAUAAGUAACGAUAAAGCGGGUGAAAAGCCCGCUCGCCGGAAGACCAAGGGUUCCUGUCCAACGUUAAUCGGGGCAGGGUGAGUCGACCCCUAAGGCGAGGCCGAAAGGCGUAGUCGAUGGGAAACAGGUUAAUAUUCCUGUACUUGGUGUUACUGCGAAGGGGGGACGGAGAAGGCUAUGUCAGCCGGGCGACGGUUGUCCCGGUUUAAGCAUGUAGGCGGAGGUUCCAGGUAAAUCCGGUACCUUAUUAACGCUGAGGUGUGAUGACGAGGCACUACGGUGCUGAAGUGAUAAAUGCCCUGCUUCCAGGAAAAGCCUCUAAGCAUCAGGUAACACGAAAUCGUACCCCAAACCGACACAGGUGGUCAGGUAGAGAAUACCAAGGCGCUUGAGAGAACUCGGGUGAAGGAACUAGGCAAAAUGGUGCCGUAACUUCGGGAGAAGGCACGCUGAUA
rnacentral:rRNA from 2 species